rnacentral:tRNA from 1 species
GAGGGUAUAGCCCAGUGGUAGAGUGCCUGCCUAGCAUGCACGAGGUCCUGGGUUCAAUCACCAGCACCUCCA